UUUCAUAAUGAUGAAUUAAGUUUACCGCCCCAGGCUGAUUUUUGUGAAAGAUAGGUUUUUCUGAUAAG